GAUGAACGCUGGCGGCGUGCCUAAUACAUGCAAGUCGAGCGAACGGACGAGAAGCUUGCUUUUCUGAUGUUAGCGGCGGACGGGUGAGUAACACGUGGAUAACCUACCUAUAAGACUGGGAUAACUUCGGGAAACCGGAGCUAAUACCGGAUAAUAUUUUGAACCGCAUGGUUCAAAAGUGAAAGACGGUCUUGCUGUCACUUAUAGAUGGAUCCGCGCUGCAUUAGCUAGUUGGUAAGGUAACGGCUUACCAAGGCAACGAUGCAUAGCCGACCUGAGAGGGUGAUCGGCCACACUGGAACUGAGACACGGUCCAGACUCCUACGGGAGGCAGCAGUAGGGAAUCUUCCGCAAUGGGCGAAAGCCUGACGGAGCAACGCCGCGUGAGUGAUGAAGGUCUUCGGAUCGUAAAACUCUGUUAUUAGGGAAGAACAUAUGUGUAAGUAACUGUGCACAUCUUGACGGUACCUAAUCAGAAAGCCACGGCUAACCACGUG
rnacentral:rRNA from 1 species